rnacentral:tRNA from 4 species
GCAGAUGUGUCCGAGCUGGCCGAAGGAGCACGAUUGGAAAUCGUGUAAGUCUUUAACGAGGCUUCUGGGGUUCGAAUCCCCACAUCUGCGCCA